rnacentral:rRNA from 1 species
AGUGAACGCUGGCGGUAGGCCUAACACAUGCAAGUCGAACGGCAGCACAGUAAGAGCUUGCUCUUACGGGUGGCGAGUGGCGGACGGGUGAGGAAUACAUCGGAAUCUACUUUUUCGUGGAGGAUAACGUAGGGAAACUUACGCUAAUACCGCAUACGACCUACGGGUGAAAGCAGGGGAUCUUCGGACCUUGCGCGAUUGAAUGAGCCGAUGUCGGAUUAGCUAGUUGGCGGGGUAAAGGCCCACCAAGGCGACGAUCCGUAGCUGGUCUGAGAGGAUGAUCAGCCACACUGGAACUGAGACACGGUCCAGACUCCUACGGGAGGCAGCAGUGGGGAAUAUUGGACAAUGGGCGCAAGCCUGAUCCAGCCAUACCGCGUGGGUGAAGAAGGCCUUCGGGUUGUAAAGCCCUUUUGUUGGGAAAGAAAAGCAGCAGGUGAAUACCCCGCUGUUCUGACGGUACCCAAAGAAUAAGCACCGGCUAACUUCGUG